rnacentral:rRNA from 1 species
AUUGAACGCUGGCGGCAGGCCUAACACAUGCAAGUCGAGCGAGCGGCGGACGGGUGAGGAAUGUAUGGGGACUGCCCGAUAGAGGUGGAUAACUACUGGAAACGGUAGCUAAUACCGCAUACUAUCGGAUAACCCAUAUGGGGUUAGCUAGUGGGUGAGGUAAUGGCUCACCUAGGCGACGAUCCCUAGCUGGUCUGAGAGGAAGAUCAGCCACACUGGGACUGAGACACGGCCCAGACUCCUACGGAGGCAGCAGUGGGGAAUAUUGGACAAUGGGCGAAAGCCUGAUGCAGCCAUGCCGCGUGUAUGAUGAAGGCCUUCGGGUUGUAAAGUACUUUCAGUCGGGAGGCGUUACCGACAGAAGAAGCACCGGCUAACUCCGUGCCAGCCACCGCGGUAAUUC